UAUUUGCAGAUCUCACCCACCUCUCUCUUCUCGGCUAUAACAACAAUGGCGGCAAUCAAAAACCUAUAUUUACCGGUUAAUUAAUACACCCGAGUUAUAGGACCGAUCGAGAGAACAGCAGCGCAAACGGGAGGGCCCUCUCGUUUCUCGUAUCGCUGUCGCACUCUGCGUUUGUACUUGGGAUCGACUUCUCGAGAACGAUCAUUGGAAAAAGCUCGCCGCUGAUCGAUGACAACCCUAACAAACUAUCAGCGGAAACCCUAGGCUUAGAUGCUUGGGGCUGCCUUACUCGCGCUGGAUCUCUCUGCACUCCUGCAGUACGCGUGCACUUUACUAUUAAUACUCGUUGCCGGGGUGUUCGUCCUCACGAGAAAAAAAGCCCCCCGGUCCUCCGUCGUAGACGCGGCUUUGCAGUGCAACGAGGAGUUCCAAGGCCACCAUCAUAUGCUCAUCGGGAGCGGUGGGAGCGACGCCGUAGGCGUGGGGGUAUCAGAAUGCCCUGUUUGCACGCGAUCGGCUAGCAAGAAGUGUUCUAGGUGCAAGAGCGUCUGGUACUGCUCUCAAGAAUGCCAGUCAAAGCAUUGGAAAGCCGAGCAUAAGUCAAAAUGCAGGGAAGUUGGGUCGCCAAAUAAGUUUGAUACCUAUGGAACAGGUUCAACGAGGAAAUCUUCUGCAAUUUCAUUGGUGCCUGAUCAUGGAACCCGUAAAGUGCUGAAAGAACCAAAAAAGAUCCUUUUCCCAUAUGAUGAGUUUGUCAAGCUUUUUGGCUGGGAUAAGCCAGGUUUUCCACCUUGCGGGCUUUUAAACUGUGGGAACAGUUGCUUUGCAAAUGUGGUUUUACAAUGUCUGUCAUGUACAAGACCACUUGUUGCCUAUUUAUUGGAGAAGAACCAUAGUAGAGGAUGCUUGAGGAGCAGAGAUGAUUGGUGUUUCUUGUGUGAGCUGCAAGCCCACAUUAAAAGAGCUAGUGAAAGUUCACAAUCUUUUUCACCCAUCAAUAUUCUUUCUCGGUUACCAAAUAUUGGUGGUAAUCUUGGCUAUGGAAGGCAGGAGGAUGCUCAUGAAUUCAUGAGGUUUGCUAUUGACACAAUGCAAUCAAUUUGCCUUGAUGAGUAUGGAGGUGAAAAAGCUGUGGAUCCUAGCACACAAGAGACAACUAUUGUCCAAUACAUAUUUGGUGGCCAUCUCCGAUCACAGGUAAUAUGUACAAACUGUGAUAUGGUUUCAAACCGUUAUGAGAACAUGAUGGAUCUGACAGUUGAAAUACACGGGGACUCUGAAUCUUUGGAGGAGUGCCUGAAUCAGUUUACUGUUAAGGAGUGGCUUGAUGGAGAGAAUAUGUAUAAAUGCGAUGGAUGCAAUGGCUAUGUCAAAGCAUGGAAAAGACUUACAGUUCAUCAGGCUCCAAAUGUUCUCACUAUUGCUCUCAAGAGAUUCCAGAGUGGUAGGUUUGGAAAAUUGAACAAAAGAGUAACUUUUCCUGAAAAUUUGGAUCUCACUCCAUACAUGAGUUCAAGUGGAGAUGGUACUGACCGCUAUACUUUAUACGGAGUUGUUGUUCACUUGGAUAUGCUAAAUGCUUCUUUUUUCGGUCAUUACAUUUGUUAUAUAAAGAAUUAUCAAGGCCUCUGGUAUAAAAUUGAUGACUGCAAGGUUAUAAAAGUUGAGGUGGAGGAAGUACUAGCUCAAGGUGCUUAUAUGCUGUUAUAUCGUAGGAGAAAUCCUAGGAAGGAUCCUUUCGUCAAGCCCGUGGAGCGUUCUACAAAUGCGCAUUUAGCUGAAACUGAUCCCGAGACUUCAAGUGCUGCUUGUGCUGUAUUUUCCAUGCCCUUGGAAGCUGAGCCUCAAACAAAUAUUUUACAUUCCGAAACGUUAUCUAAGUUCUCCACGUUAAGAGAUACAGGGCAUGAUAGAGAGCUUGUAGAAUGCAGCGGAAAUGAAUCAGAAGAUAUGGACCUGUAUGCAUUGGGGACCACUAAACUGGUGCCUAAAAGUGCUGAAAACUUUGGCAUUGAUAAUUCUUUCGCCAAUCCAUCUGAAGUGAAUGGUGUCAAAUUAGAAAAUUCAAAUUGUCUGGAAAAUUCCUCAAUCAAAUCUAUGCCAUCAAAAGCCUCAAAUACUGCUAAUUUUUCCUAUGCUGAAAUUGAAUCAACUGAAUUCGAAGAAUUGAACUCUUAUUCUGAUGCUAGUUUGCAUAUGGAGGAAGGCAAUGUAUCAGUUAAUGGCAAAGUAAUACCUGAGCUAUCCUCCACAGAUAACGAUAUAAUUAUGGCAGAAGCAUCAACUGCACCUAUCCUUACUUCAAGCAUAGAUCAAGGGCCUAGAUUGGCCCUAAGCCCUUGGCCUGAACCACGAGCAAUAAUUUAUGAUUCAUCUGGGCUAGUAAAUGGUACUUGUACUUCAGAUACUUAUCUAGAAUGUGAAAUGCACACGAAAAUUUCGAUGGACAGUUCAAGAGUAAAAAUGAAGCCAAUCUUUACCCGCGGAUUCCUCGACAAGCCUGUCCAUAAGAAACCUUCAGGGUGUGAGGUAACAGUUCCAAUGGACAACCACGGAACUCCCUUAUCCUCCAAAGCCAAUAGCCAUUCUAACGGGCAUUUACAGUUUGGCUGGGAUAUCAAUAUGGCUAGGGGCAAUGUAAAUGGAGACUCAAUUUCUCCUGAUUCGAAUGUGACUUCAAAUUCUCCUAGUUCCUCGAAUGGUUGUUCUCGAGAUCAUACCGAAAUGGAAUGCAAUGGCGUAUCAUCAUUUUAUGAGAAUGAAAUCAAUGAAUUUGGACAAGAGCUGCCAUGCUCGAGCUUCGAAACCUCGGCCGAAACAUUCAAUUCUCCAAGCAAUGGUGAUGGCUUUUUAUUUAAAAUGGAUGUGGUCUUUCCAUCAUAUGGCUCAGAUAUAAAAACUCCCAAGUCUAAAACCUCUGAAUGUUGUCGAGAUGAGAAUCAAAUAUCAAGGCCCUUAAAUGGAUUUUCUACUGCUGAUUUUUCUGAGUAAGUAGCUGCAAUUCAACUAUCUGUUGAUCAUCAUCAUGAAGAAGUACCAUUUUGAUAUCUAGCAGGUAGGCGGCGAGUCGUUAUAAAGGAACUCGCACCUAACAAGCCACACGAAGGACUCAACUCACUCAAGGACGUCGAGAAUCUACUCGCUUGGAAGCACACUGGGAAGUUGUUUCCCAUGGGGACAAUUAGGGGCAAUCGUAGAUCACACGACUCGCAACAUGUGUUAUUAGAUAGUUCGUCCACUAAAGCUGCUUGCCAUCAUACACAGUAGAGUGUCUUCACUCACUCUUGUCGCCUCCGUUACAAGAAAGUGCCUACCCAAGGAGCUCUUAGCACGUCCUACCACGGAGCUUGCCUUCCUUGCAAACAAUAGCUCACUCGCCUCCCUUUCUGAGGUGAUUCAUGGCUCCAUGACAUGUUGGCAACUCCAGGGCACUCACUAGUCACAGGUCCCUCCAUCUUAGCAUUUGCUAAUGGACUCAUCCCAUGCUCACUUGCUCAUACCUACUUUGACACCAUUGAGCUCAUCCAAAGGUAGAUUAUCAAAAACUAACACAACUUUGUUCUCCUUCGAGCUAAUUAGAGGAUGAAAUAUGUUUAGGGGUGGUCCACGUUGGGUUGUGUAAAGUAUGCACUUUUUAUUUAUUUCCUUUUUAGCAUUUCUUG